rnacentral:rRNA from 1 species
AGCGAACGCUGGCGGCGUGCCUAACACAUGCAAGUCGAGCGAUGAAAUCCCUUCGGGGAUGGAUUAGCGGCGGACGGGUGAGUAACACGUGGGUAACCUGCCUCAAAGUGGGGGAUAGCCUUCCGAAAGGAAGAUUAAUACCGCAUAAUAUUAGAUUUUCGCAUGAAGAACUAAUUAAAGAAGUAAUUCGCUUUGAGAUGGACCCGCGGUGCAUUAGCUAGUUGGUGAGGUAAUGGCUCACCAAGGCGACGAUGCGUAGCCGACCUGCGAGGGUGAUGGGGCACAUUGGAACUGAGACACGGUCCAGACUCCUACGGGAGGCAGCAGUGGGGAAUAUUGCACAAUGGGGGAAACCCUGAUGCAGCAACGCCGCGUGAGUGAUGAAGGUCUUCGGAUUGUAAAGCUCUGUCUUUUGGGACGAUAAUGACGGUACCAAAGGAGGAAGCCACGGCUAACUACGUGCCAGCCGCCGCAGUAAGAC